rnacentral:tRNA from 1 species
UCCUGGUGGCUCAGAUGGUAAAGAAUCUGCCUGCAAUGCAGGAGACCCAGGUUCGAUCCCUGGGUCUGGAA